rnacentral:misc_RNA from 1 species
GAUGAAGAACGUAGCGAAAUGCGAUAAGUAGUGUGAAUUGCAGAAUUCAGUGAAUCAUCGAAUCUUUGAACGCACAUUGCGCCCCUUGGUAUCCCGAGGGGCAUGCCUGUUCGAGCGUCAUUUCACCACUCAAGCCUGGCUUGGUGUUGGGCGACGUCCUCUUUGGGGACGCGCCUCGAAACGCUCGGCGGCGUGGCACCGGCUUUAAGCGUAGCAGAAUCUUUCGCUUUGGAAGUCGGGGCCCCGUCUGCCGGAAGACCUGCUCGCAAGGUUGACCUCGGAUCAGGCAGGGAUACCCGCUGAACUUAAGCAUAUCAAUGAGCGGAGGA